UGCUCUUCCUAUCUGGGAAAGUGACCCCAGGCCAGUGCAUGCUUCCCAGCUGUCUUUACUGAGUCAGCCAGCCAUGACACCUGUGCAGUCUUGAUUCUAUCAUUGGCCAUCUGUGUGAGCAUGCACUACGAGGCUCCAGUUUCUUUAUCUGUCAGGUGUGAAUAGCUAUGCCCACCCUUUUGUCUUUUGAGGUUAUGGUAAGUUCUGGAGUAGCGAAAGAUCAGGCCGUUCUUUUUAAAGAAAUGUUUUCCUGCCAGACCCCAGAGUCUGAGUCAGGCACCAAGCUGCCUCUCCUCCCAGUUAGUAUGUUCACCUACAAAGAAAGUGAUUUAGAGUAGCUGAAGAUGAAAGGAUAUGGCUGACCCCAAGUGUGUGCUGGCAUAUAUGUAUGUAUUCAUGUAUGGAUCUUAGCAACAGAGUUCACUUUCUCUACAGUGGCAAAAUAACACUAAUAUGGGCCAGUGUAUUAUCUGGAAUGUCCCCAUUGUUUAGAACUAAGGGUGAAACUGUCUUAUGAAAUAGAUUUGUACAUGGCUGUUUGGUCCCACUUUGGAGAAGCCAUCAACAGCAGAGCUUAGAAAACACAAGCUUUCUUUUCAUCAGGCAGAUAGCCCUUUGGAUGGUCCAAUGACUUCACUAGAACCUGGUAUUAGGAAGU